GAUGAACGCUGGCGGCGUGCCUAAUACAUGCAAAUCGAGCGAACGGACGAGAAGCUUGCUUCUCUGAUGUUAGCGGCGGACGGGUGAGUAACACGUGGAUAACCUACCUAUAAGACUGGGAUAACUUCGGGAAACCGGAGCUAAUACCGGAUAAUCUUUUGAACCGCAUGGUUCAAAAGUGAAAGACGGUCUUGCUGUCACUUAUAGAUGGAUCCGCGCUGCAUUAGCUAGUUGGUAAGGUAACGGCUUACCAAGGCAACGAUGCAUAGCCGACCUGAGAGGGUGAUCGGCCACACUGGAACUGAGACACGGUCCAUACGCCUACGGGAGGCAGCAGUAGGGAAUCUUCCGCAAUGGGCGAAAGCCUGACGGAGCAACGCCGCGUGAGUGAUGAAGGUCUUCGGAUCGUAAAACUCUGUUAUUAGGGAAGAACAUAUGUGUAAGUAACUGUGCACAUCUUGACGGUACCUAAUCAGAAAGCCACGGCUAACUACGUG
rnacentral:rRNA from 1 species